UUUUGGACAAUGGGGGCAACCCUGAUCCAGCCAUGCCGCGUGAGUGAAGAAGGCCUUCGGGUUGUAAAGCUCUUUCGGACGGAACGAAAUGGGCGGGACUAAUACUCCUGUCUGAUGACGGUACCGUAAGAAGAAGCUCCGGCUAACUCCGUGCCAGCAGCCGCGGUAAUACGGAGGGAGCUAGCGUUGUUCGGAAUUACUGGGCGUAAAGCGUACGUAGGCGGUAUUCAAGUCAGAGGUAAAGCCCGGGGCUCAACCCCGAACUGCCUUUAAACAGGAGCAGAUCUUGAGGGUCAGUGAAUUCCAGUGAAGGUAAAUUCGAGUUUCGAAGACACCAGUGCAAGCACUGCUGGCAAGUUUGCGUGCAUCAAA
rnacentral:rRNA from 1 species